rnacentral:rRNA from 1 species
GCACAAGCGGUGGAGCAUGUGGUUUAAUUCGACGCAACGCGAAGAACCUUACCUGGGCUCGAAAUGUACAUGAAUCCGGCAGAAACGUCGGCGUCUAGCAAUAGACAUGUAUAUAGGUGCUGCAUGGCUGUCGUCAGCUCGUGUCGUGAGAUGUUGGGUUAAGUCCCGCAACGAGCGCAACCCUUAUCUUCAGUUGCUACCAUUUAGUUGAGCACUCUGACGAAACCGCCUCGGAUAACGGGGAGGAAGGUGGGGAUGACGUCAAGUCCUCAUGGCCUUUAUGUCCAGGGCUACACACGUGCUACAAUGGCCGGUACAAACCGCUGCAACCCCGCGAGGGUGAGCUAAUCGGAAAAAGCCGGCCUCAGUUCGGAUUGGAGUCUGCAACUCGACUCCAUGAAGCUGGAAUCGCUAGUAAUCGUGGAUCAGCAUGCCACGGUGAAUACGUUCCCGGGC